rnacentral:RNase_P_RNA from 1 species
UGAGUAGAUUGGGUGAUCGCGGGUACCAGUCCGAAAGGAGGUAUCUGAGGAAAGUCCGAGCUCCACAGGGCAGGGUGCUGGGUAACACCCAGUGGGGGCGACCCUAAGGAAAGUGCCACAGAGAUAUACCGCCGGGUAAUUGGCUUUUGCCAAAGCCGGUUACCGGGUAAGGGUGAAAAGGUGAGGUAAGAGCUCACCAGCAACCAGGCGACUGGUUUGGCUAGGUAAACCCCACCCGGAGCAAGACCGAAUAGGGGAACGUUAAAGGUGGCCCGCCUAGUUCCCGGGUAGGUCGCUUGAGGCGUUUGGUAACAAACGUCCUAGAUAGAUGAUCAUCCACGACAGAACUCGGCUUACAGAUCUACUCAUCCA